rnacentral:rRNA from 1 species
UACGUAGGGUGCAAGCGUUGUCCGGAAUUAUUGGGCGUAAAGAGCUCGUAGGCGGUUUGUCGCGUCGAAUGUGAAAACCCGGGGCUCAACCCCGGGCCUGCAUUCGAUACGGGCAGACUAGAGUUCGGUAGGGGAGUCUGGAAUUCCUGGUGUAGCGGUGAAAUGCGCAGAUAUCAGGAGGAACACCGGUGGUGAAGGCGGGACUCUGGGCCGAUACUGACGCUGAGGAGCGAAAGCGUGGGGAGCGAACAGG